rnacentral:tRNA from 1 species
UUUUACUUAGUUUAAUUAAGCAAAAUAAUAACUUGUCGAGUUAUAGAAAAUAUUAUUAUUAGUAAAAA